UCCCUGGCAGUCCAAUGGUUAGGACUCGGCACUCUCACUGCCAGGGGCCCAGGUUCAAUCCCUGAUCAGGGAA
rnacentral:tRNA from 1 species